UUUUUUUUUUUUUUUUCAAAGCUCUAGGGAACUUAACACUUUCUUAUUAAGUCAUUUCAAAUUGUGGAUAAUCAGCAUAGUAUAUACAAGCACCAGCUUCUUUGGCGUUCUUGAGCGUUAGCUUCUUCAUGUGCACAGUUGGGAUAAAUAUAUAAUGCCUACCUCACCUUAGAGGAUUAUGAAGAUUAAGUGGGCUAAACUAUGUAAAACCUCAGUUUACAAACAGCUGGUUAGUGGUGGAGCCGGUACUGAAAUCCAGGAUUACCUAACUCCUGAGACUGUCUUUGACUCUUUAUUUUGAAAUGAGUUGAACAUACAGGAAAGUUGCAAGAGUCAUACAAAGAACUUCUGUAUACUCUUCCUCCAGAUUAACCAAUUGUUCAGCUCUUGCUGCCUGAGCCCAUGUUUUCCAUCAGAGUGCUGUGGGGUCUGGAAUAGUCUAUAAAAUGGGUACCAUAAUUGUUCUGACCUUGGGGGCCCAUUAUGAAGGUUGAAUGAGUUCACACAUGUGAAAAAUAAGAUGCAUAAAUGAAUAGCUGCAGCAAAGCCUAACAGGACUUCUGACCAGUGAGGAGCCUAGUGUAGUGACAAAGUAGGAAGUAAGCCUUUCCCCCAGGGUGAAGGAAAGUGGGAGCUUGGAAAGCCUGCAGAGGAGGUGACCUCUGAGGUCAGUCUUUAAACCCCAGCCAUCCAGGAUCAGAACAAAACAGUGAUUUCCAUGCUCCACCCUUAGUCUUCUCCCAGAGAAAGGGCUGAAUUUGAAAUAUAUAUAUAUAUAUAUUUCUAAGGAAUAUUAUCUGAAUGUGAAUUUGGAGAAGUCAGCACUGCUAGUUCUACCACCACCCGUGGAGGAGAGGUCACACCCAGCAUUUCCAAACUUAUUACUGUGAAGAUUAGAACAUCCCUCUGCCCCAUCUCCUAGCAAAUCCCCAGCCCUGGAGAAGAAUCAUGGUUUCCCAGGACUUAUCAUGAUUCUCAGAAGUGAGAAGUGGCCUUUCCAAAGCAUCUUCUCACUGAGCUGCACAAAGUCAAAUCCUUGUCCAAACGCAUAAAAACCACUUAAAUACCAUGCAAAGCCCACAUAAAACAUCUCCAUACACACACACAAAAAGGAUGUUCUUUGACUAAUUCUCUCAGGAGGUAAACCAUAACGGCUUGAAGCAGUUGACGUCUGCCAUCCAGGCCUUCAAGUUCAAGGAGAACGCACACAGCCACUGCAAGCAACGUCCAAAUACCCAAAACAGAUCUGACCCCUACCUUGUAAAAAGUUCUGUAUCCCACAAAAACAAGCCUGAAGAGGAUCGAUUUUGCAGAGUAAGCGUGACCCACUCCUUUUGUCUGUCGGUUCUCAUUCGACUUUUGGACUUAAUUGUGGAGAGUUAUAAUUAGAUCGUGCUUUGCCUUUUUUUCCCCCUUGAACUGAUAAAAAGUGCCGUAAAUCCUGGACAUCAUCCACGAGUACAGUCACUGAUGAAUUUUGCUAUUUUUUGCACAUCACACCAUAUGCAGGCCCGGCUGAGAGGCAUGGUUCCGUAUUCCUGGCAUGCAGGAGAGUCACUGAGAGAUAUCAUAUGGUCUCCUGGCAGAAGUACAAAGUGCCUCUUGCUGUUUGAUCUACUGUCUUAAACUUAAAUGCAAAAUCUGAUAAUUGGGUCAGGCAGGAGGAGAAACGGAGCCGUAAAGUUCUUUUCAUUUCCUUUUGCUAUUUCUCCACGUUUCAUCUUUUCUUCCUUUUUUGCCUGCUCUUUCUCCCACCUCCCUCUCCUUCUUUUUUUUUUUUUUAAUUUUCUCAGACCCUGAAGGAGACAGACCACCUUGCAUAUAGAAUGGAUUCAAAAAGGAGGUGGGUUUAUGGCUGGAUGACCCAUCAGAGAGUCUCCAGUCACCUCCGUCAGCUCCUCACUAGAUGCAGGUUAAAUUUUUGCCCCAUUAGCAACAGUCCUGGAUAACCAUCUCAAGCUUUGCAAAAGCCAAAGUCAUGGCUGGGUUUUACUUGUUUAGAAAUAUUACUGCCUUUCCAGACUUGGAUUUGUUUAAUGUAAAAGGAAUCCCAUCAUAGUCUCUCUGGUUUAGGGCAUUAAGCAGACGGAGGCUUGCACUUCAAAGAACACAAGAGAUAAAUGAAAACUGAACCCCCUCUUCAGGCAGAAGACUGUGAUAUGAAAUGUCUGACUUAGACCUUUUUGCCCAAUUGUUUCUAAACAGGGAGAGAGAACUUUUCAUUCUUGAUUUCGCCACUCUAAGACCUGUUGCAGAAUCGCCUGUGUAGUUCCUGAAUUGUUUUCACUGGAUGUAAACCCAAAUAUGGCUUCUUCCUAAUAUAUGUGAAUUUAGUGCUCCCUAAGGAGGGGACAAAGUUCAGAAGUGACAAAGCUCUUUGUCAGCAUUACUUUUUCAAAUCACAAAGGGCAGUUUCUCACCCUCAGGUGAGUCACUGACGUUUUCCCCAGGUCAGGCCACCCGCCUCACUGCAGUACCUGCUUCAUGGACACCCUGCUGCAGAGUUAGAAUGUUCCAGAAAUUUCCUCCCCCAGAGACCACCUGGGGAUUGGGGAGGGGGUGCCUGGGAGCAAGGCCCAUGGCUGUCCUCAUAUGCACCCCCAUAGCAAUACUGUCAGCUGGACUAAGCAUGAAAGAACAUUCUAGACAGUCUUAGCCUUGAAUUGAAAAUUCGGUCCUGGCCACCUGAAGGGCAGGUGGGAUCAAGAAUGGAUUUUUCUCUGUGAGGAUGCAGAGUAUAAGUUUUGUCAAUGGCAGCAGAGCCACCUCCUUCCACUUGAAGCCUUUCCACUAAUGGCUUCACAAGUCACUACUUCAAUUUCUUUCUUUUUUUUUUUUUUUAGGGCCACACCCACGGCAUAUGAAGUUUCCCAGGCUAGGGGUCUAAUCAGAGCUGUAGUCGUCAGCCUAUGCCAGAGCCACAGCAACACCAGAUCUGAGCCAUGUCUGCGACCCACACCACAACUCAUGGCAACGUGGAAUCCUUGACCCACUGAGCGAGGCCACGGAUGGAGCUCACAACCUCAUAGUUCCUAGUUGGAUUCAUUUCUGCUGCACCACAACAGGAACUCGAGACUUCAAUUUCUAAAGCUUCCCAGCCUCGCUUCUGAUUGCUCCAUCCUUCCUGGGACCUAAGGGUCCCUGUAGAAAGUUGCAUUGCUCUAAAAGCAUCUCAGGACCAAAGCAAUAAGCCACCCAGAGCCCUGCUGUGAGCUUAGAACCAUCUCUCUUGCUCAGACACAGCAGCCAGAUCCGGAUGGAGUCCUAGAUCCAAGCAGCUGUACAGCUUGCCUUCUGGACAUUCUGGAUCCAGGGAGGCUGCAGAGAGCUGCAUCCAGAGUAUAGGCUGGGGAGGGAAAUUCAACAUCCCAGAAAGGCUGAGCAGUAUUCUUCCUGGAUGUCCAGAUUCUGGAGAGAGAAGGCUUAGGGGAAGGGGAGCCAUCCACAGAUUCUCUAGCUUGCCCAGACUUAGCAGCUGCAUUUAGGAGGCCUCCAAACUCACUCUGAUCUGAAAUGGAAAGAAACUCUUUCUCUGGAACAGGCAAUUGUGUGACAUAGUGAGUUGCAACCGUCUUUGAUGGAAGCUGCUUUGGAAGCAAACACUCAUGUUCACAGCCUGAAGAGAGCAUGGUUCUUGCACUCCCCAAAUCACAGCUCUUCCGUCAAGCAGUGAAGAUGCUGCUGUGGCUUCAGAGGACCUGGGUACUACCAUCUAUUAGUCACUCUUGCUGUUACACUGACACCAUUCCUAGGCAUCUUAUUUAACGUGACUCUGUUUCACUCCCUUCUCACCACAAUGGGGCUGGAGACUCCUUUUGUCAAAAACACUAAAUUAGACCUGUUCAAUGUAAUGUCAGAAAUGACUUAUGCAUGCCUACAAAAGGAAAGAUUUUAAACAACAGGGUCUCCCAUGUUCAGGGUUUCUGGAUGGAGUCACCCUCCCACUCAGAGGCUGACACGUCUAUAAGAGUGAUGACAGGUUAUUAAGUUCACAGUGGCUGGUGAGAGGGUCCCCCAACCACUCCUUCCAUCCAACCCAAAGCCCAGUGGAAAAACAAACCUCAAUUUAAAAAAAAACACGUUCAUGAAUUUGCUUUAAUUUCACCCUCAAGGUUUUUUUUCCAGUUACUGUAGAAAUUGGAUCCUUGUCUGGAUAUAUUUUUUAAGUGACCCUUGCUCUCAGGCUCCUGCCCUCCCCGCACUCCCUGCCCCAUCCCUUCUUCACCUCCUCCCCAUGCCUCAGUGACAAGAACCAUUUACCGUAAUUGCAGGUUCCCUGUUGGUAGCCACCAUUACCACAAAAAGUGAAAAUCGAAAACUCUUAGGUAGCAAUUAAUUUAGAAACAACGUUACCACAAUUCUUGUAUGGUGUAUGUAACCAUAAUAGCCACUUCAGUGGAAAAAGCAAAAAUAAAGGGGAGGACAAAUGACAUUAAUUUCCAUUUGCAACAAACCCAUAAUUGGAUCAAUGAUCAGAUCCUUGGGGAGAAAGUCAGCUGUCAUUGGUGGGUGAAGCCUGUGUACACACAGGAUAGAAGGAAGUGCAUGUGAGGUUGGACCUUGAAACCCAGCUGGAAGGGGUGGAGCACAUUUGAAACCCCAGAGGGAGUGGUGGUGACCCCCACGCUUUCUCUGGACUGCAGUGGUUUCUAGACCGUGGCAUCCACUUCUUCAUUCAUUAACAGGUGGCUUCAGGCACGUUUCCUGACCCUUUGGGGUUUGAUUUCUUCAUUUGCUUCCUGGGGAUUCUGAAAGUGCCCACCUCAUUAGGUUGUGAGGAUUAAAUGAGUUGAUCUCUAGAACGUACCUAAAAUGGUACCAUGUAUUUGGUAGACUGGUAAAAUGUUAGCUUCUUAUUAUUAUUCCUCAUAAUUAUUCUUUAUUAUCCAUAAGUCAAUGGAAAUAGGGGUAGUUUAGGCUUAGAAAAUGCAAACCCAUGUUUAAGCUCUCUUCCUUCUCACUGUGUCAUUUUAGGCAAGUUAGCCUCUCUGAUCUAUAAAACGGGGGUCUGUCCAGUUACAGAAAUGUGCCAGUGACACAGAGUAAGAAAUGGUAAAGCAUUUUGUAACUGAACAUGAGACCUCAGGACAUGUCUUUAUCCUGAGGACAUUAGGAUUGCCUCAGAGGGGACAGUUCCAGCAAGGCACCCUGGGUAGCCAGUCCCCUCCCUGGUGUCCAGGGGCAGGGAGCCUCCAUUUCUGCAUGGCUUCCAUGAACUGCUACCCACAGGAUCCACUGGUGUCUCCGGGUGGGACCCCCAGAGAUGUCCCUCAGCUUUUCUCUGCAGCUCUGGGGUCAGGUCAGAGGGAGGGGAGAAGCAAGGUAGAUGCUUGAUCCAGAAAUGCCCCAGAUCUCAGAGGAUACUGAGAGACGAGGAUGCCCCAGCCCUGCCACAUGUGUGUGUUUUCUGUGUCUCAGAUUUUCAUCCGAAGAGCCCUGUAACUGGUGAGUCUGACGACCAGGAAUUCUGGGGAGGAAAUGGGGCUCCACAGAAAGUAAACAAGAACAUGCAGUACUUUAUACAAAUAUUCUCAAAGAACACUCCAAAAAUCCUUCUUCCCCACCCCCCAUGGCUGGGAGUGGAAGGGCUUUCUUCUCUCUUAUAAAUAUCUUUGCUUUUGUUCUUUUUUCUUAAUGCCUUGUUGCCCUGAAACAGCAACAAGGCAAAAAAGCCUAGGUAAAAACCAAAGUGUCUGGCCCUCUGCUGUGGAGAAUGGGGCUAAACCAGAGGCAACGAGAGGAUCGCAAGUGCAUAAAACACUGCAGAUGAUUUUUAUUUUAGUUUUCUGAUUGGUUUGUUACAGCUUUCUGAAGAUUUGGACUUCAGUAUGUAACCUAUACCCAAAUCAAUAUGCACAUACAAGUUUGUGUGCAUGAGAGUGUGUGUGGUGAAAGAACAUGUAAAGCAGUGUGUGUGUGUGUGUGUGUGUGUGUGUGCGCAUGAACAUAAGUGUGUCAGUGUUGCAUGUGCAUGGAAGUGUCUUUGAGCCUGUCUGAAUGUGUGUUGAGGGGGGCAGUUGCAUGUGCAGGAAGUGUGUGUCUGUAAGCCAGUCUGUGAAUUGUGAGUGUGGGUGUGUAUGGGUGUGUGUGUGUGCAAGAGUAUAGAUGUGUGGGUGUUGCAUGUGCAGGAAGUGUGUGUCUGUGAGCCGGUCUGUGAAUUGUGAGUGUGGGUGUAUAUGUGUGUGUGAAUAUGAGUGAAUGUCCACAAGCAUAUGAGAGGGAGCACGUGUGUGUGUGUGUGUGUGUGUGUGUGUGUGUUUGUGCUGAGAGCACUCUGGGUGUCAGCCCAGAAGAGACUCAGGACAUUUUGCAUCAGAUUCAUAGAAAAGGAGCCUGAAGUUAGGGGAGGGACAGAACACACCUAAUGGCUAGGCCAGUUCGUGGCAGAUGCCUGAUCUGAAAGCAAAGUUUCCUCCUCCAGCUCCCUUACCAUCAAGAUUCUUUUCCUUCCUCUUUGCUGACCUCUGAGACACCACCACCACCACUUCCCAGGCUGCUUUCUCACCUCCCCGUGUGCUUCUCUGGCCCUUGCUGUGAGGGACAUGCACCUGGGUCUAGAAGGGCAGAAGGGCAUCUGUCGUCCAGGGUUGACACUAAAAUGCCCUCGUACACCAUGAGGCUCAGGCUUCCCUCCCCGGAUCUUCCCUGCUCCCAUGGGGCUUAUGGAAGAACCUCAUCCUGGGUCUCCUGGCUGAGUCUGUUUGUUCUUCUCCGAGUUCCCUGGGUCAGCACAAGUCCAAGUGUGGAGGAGAUCUCUCUCUCAUCAGCAGUGUGAACACAAGGGCAGGAUGUGGGGCAUGAAUAAAUGGCAACCCCUGCCUUCCACCUACACAACUAAACUUUACCUAUUUGAACUUGAGGAAAGCAGUUUCCUAGAAUAUUUGGAGACCAAGAGCCCCGCUCCAUGUGCCAGGCUCCAUGCUCCUCAUGUGAACCUAUCCUGCAGAAGCCUCCCUUCCUGAUCCACCUGCUCUCUGAGUCACCUGUGUGCUCUGAGUCUCCCGGUUCUCUCAUCACGACAGAAAGUGCUGUGCCAGGUAAUGUCCCACUGAUCCACCAUCCAAAUCCACAUCUUGCCUGACCUUGAGCUGCCUAACUCUAAUUCUUCUCAGGCGUGGUCUAGAGCUUAAAGAGCACAUCACAUGGGAAAAAAGGCAAAGACUUUUGUGACACAGGUUUCCCCAUUCCCAGCUUUUUAUUCCACCACUCCUUUCCUGGAUGGGUCUGGCAUCUUAGUAACGGGGAGGAUGGAUUUUUAACAGUGCAAAGAGCCUGAGAGACCAUCUGAGGGCAGCCAGUUCAUGUAUCUGAGGACACUGAAAUCCUCCUGGCAAGUACUGAUAGUUGGCCAGUCUAUGGCCAAGCUGGGAUGAGACCACGCCCCGUCCUGAGCUUUUUCACCUUCACCUGGCAGCUCCCCAGAUCUCAUACCAAUGCCUCCUCCCUGCUGGAGCUUUGAAAAGCCACUGCUGACCUGAAAAGUCCUGGAACCACUCUGUAGAGCAGGGAUGCAAAGGAUGUUGUGUCUUCCCUUUAGGUACAUAGUGAGUCUUCCUUCCAUGCUGCCCUAGGUUUAAUGCUCAAGAUGCUGACACUGCGAGACAAUGCCCUGCCCUCAAAGGGACCACAGACUGGCCUGUGGACAUCAAAUGUUCUCACCCUUGACUUCAUAUUAGAAUCACCUGGGGAGUCUCAAGUUCCAGCCAUGUUCCUGCAAAUGGCAUAAUUUUGUUCUUUUUAUGGCUAAGUAGUAUUCCAUUGUGUAUAUAUACCACAUCUUUCUAAUCCAACCAUCUGUCAAUGGCCAUUUGGGUUGUUUCCAUGUCUUGGCUAUUGUGCUGCAAUGAACAUGCAGGUGCAUGUGUCUUUUUUAAGGAAAGUUUUGUCCGAAUAUAUGCCCAAGAGUAGGAUUGCUGGGGCAUAUGAUAGUUCUAUGUAUAGUUUUCUAAGGUACCUCCAUACUGUUCUCCAUAGUGGUUGUACCAGCUUACAUUCCCACGAACAGUUCAGGAGGGUUCCCUUUUCUCCACACCCUCUCCAGCGUUUGUUAUUUGUGGACUUCGUAAUGAUGGCCGCUCUGACUGGCGUGAGGUAAUGAGAUCCUGCUGUGUAGCACUGGGAACUAUAUCUAGUCACUUAUGAUGGAGCAUGAUAUUGUGGGAAAAAAGAAUCUAUACAUGUACGUGUAACUGGGUCACCGUGUUGCCCAGUAGACAAUGGACAGAACACUGUAAACCAGCUAUAAU
rnacentral:lncRNA from 1 species